rnacentral:tRNA from 1 species
GGGGUUGUGGCUCAGUGGUAGAGCACUUGCCUAGCAUGUAUGAGGCACUGGGUUCAAUUCUCAUCACCA